CAAUUAGGAAUAGAUAUCAGUGGUGAUAUUUAUAAAAAAAAAAAAUCAGAAUCUGCUCAUUCCUAUCAAUUUCCACCCCUAGGUUAAAAGAAAUCCAAGGAAAGGACGUGUUUAUGUUUCCAUGUGCAGAUCCUCCUCAUCCAAAAAUACCCGUCAGUAUCUCCAGAAGUAUCUGUAGGCACAAAUUGUGGUCGACCUUGUGUCUGUAUUCUGUUUAAUCUUGGGACAUACCCUGUCAACACCACUCAGCUGUAAGUCCGCUCCAACUGUUAGAGAGUUUUGUUAAGUGGUGAGAAAAAGCCAGCCUCAAAUUAUGUUUUAAAACCCGAGAGCCAACCAAUUACUGCGACUGAUUACUGUUCUUAUGCCAUAUGUAUAUUUGUGUGAUUACAGAGGACAGGAAACAGCUGUCUCCAGCCUCACAGGAAGUGUAAUUAUACACCAGCCUGAGAGCAAGCUUACCGCCACGUGAAGACACGCAAACACACACACAGACAGAUGCACAAACACAGGGCAUCUUCUAAAUUCCUAGAGGUGAAGAAGUCACUGCUGGAGAACUAAGUGGACAAAAAAAAAAACAGGACAAAACUGAUGGUGAAAAGUCUACACUUUUUAAACUGACAUAUGAAAUUAUGUGCAAUGUCUCACUGUUGGUGCAGCUCGUCAGUUUUAAUUGGGAUUAUCUAAACUAACUGCAACAAUUAACUAGAAAAUUAAAUUGGUCAGAUUUCAAAUUAUGGUCAGAAUGACGGGAACUGUAUAUCCCAUAAUUCCACUGUUCAUCCACUCAUCAUGUUCUAAUACACUCUCAAUGUUGUCAUUUACCAGCCAGCAUUUAAAAAUUAAAUUGUUAAAUUGUAAUCAGAUUCAUCACAGAGUGGCUGUGGAUUUAACUAAGACUAAGGUCAAAAUAAACAUUCCUAGAAUAUUGUCUUUUCCUUCUAGCAUUAUGAUGGCAUUUACAAAUUGACAUUUACAAAUGACAUUUACAGAGAAAUGUCAUUUUAUCAUUUGUAGGACUGUUGAUUUAUUUAGAUUGUGAUUACUUGUGAUGAAAUACAAUGAUGAUUAACCGUGAUUAUUCGUGACUAGUAAAUACAUCAGAAUACAAACUUUAAUAAUUUGACAACCUUACAUUAGAUUUAAGGGAGUAACAGAAAAACACAGACAGACAGGAGGGGAUGCAAACCAGGAGAGGCAUUAUAUAGCUGUCUCCAGGCAAAGUCUUAAACUGAAGCGGUUCUGAUGACCUGUUAGUACGAUUGAAGACAUUUCCUCCUCUUCUCUUUCUGGGCUGCAGACUGAGCCAACCAUCAACUCCUAGUAGAACAAACUUGUCCUGGUUUUUACAGAGUUGCUGCCCUGCUGGUAACUCGGCUGUUUUAAUUUACUUUGAUGAGAUGCAGAAAAACCAAAAACGGGACAUGAUGUCUAUGAGGAGAUCGGAGCCAAAAGUGAAGUCAUGUUUUGGCAGACAGUGUGUGCAGGGUCAUCAGUACGGCUGACCCGGGACAGAGUUUUCCAGCAGCUGUCCAAACUCUUGGACUAUGACAGCACGAGUAACUGAGGAAUUCUCAUUUUUACUGCAUGACUCAUCACUCAGUGUAUUUUUUUUUAUUCUACACUAAUGCAAAUUGAUUAUAAGAACUUAAAUAAACAAUAAAAAAACAUUGUUUGUGGAAAGCUUACAUCAGUCUAGAGAGAUGUAUAAGGCAGAAAACCUAACAAAAAUCGCAGAGUUGUUUUAAAUACCAUAACGUGAUUAAAUUAAAAACAGCUGUCCCUGUAAACUGUACUGGACUAAAACAAGCAGCACUGACUGGAAGUUUACGCCCUCACAGGUGACCCGGGAGAAUUACCUGCGCAACAGCACCUUCUGCUGGUUACUUACAGGGUUGCAGCAGCGAGCCUGGUGCAACACCUCCUUGUUUUUACAAAGAGUUCGGAUAAAAAAAAAUCGAAUUAUUAUCAAACGGCAAUAUUUGAAAUACCGUAAUAUUUGCCGUGUUCUCGUUCUGUAUGAAAACACAUUUACUGCAUUUCAAACCCAGCAAUUUUUCCUGGAACUUUGAAUUAUCUUAUUAUCUUAUAUUUUGUUUUAUGUGAUGUAUAUUUUAAUACAAUCAAAUCAUGUGGUUUGUAUGAGAACUAACCAGAGUUUUACUCCACUCACCGGAAAGUUUUCAAAUGGGUUUUUAUUUUUUCACCCAUGCUGUCAUUUCUAAAGAAACAGAAACCUAAAAACCAUGGACACACAAGGGCUGGGCUUAGACUGCUGUUGCUGACUGUAGUCCAGAACACAUCCAACAAUCGACAAACAAAGACAGACUGCAGACACCACACGAGAUUCCUGCACGAGAUAAAGUUGCUGCACAAUGGCAAAAGUCAUCAGCUGCUGGCUUGCUCUGUCCCUCGCCUUGCCCUCGACCUCCGCUAUACAAAGACUAAACUCAAUCAACGAUUUAAAGGCAAUCGACUUUGGUCAAUCUGUGCCUCUGCACAGCCUGCUGCUGCUCCACUGGUUUGCACACGCCAUUAAUAUCGAUACAAAUGGUGUCAUAUCGUUGAUGUUCGAUCCAAACUGUGAAGAUUAUGGGUCGCAUUAUUAUAACAAUUAUGAGAAGCUGCUGCCACAUAGAAACUACUACUACACCCUUGGCAACAUCAAUCAAGCCACGUCCAACACGCUGCAUCUUCCAGGUUAUGUCAUCUAUCCUCAGGCAAAGUACAACGGCAGAAACCGGGACCGAAUUAUAAUAGAAGCCACACACCACUGGUUGUUUCCCACUGGUUAUAACAUUCAUAGAGUGUACAUCACACAACAUUUUCUGAACACUAUGGCUGGAGAAUAUGAUGCUGACCACACAUAUGAGAUCACUCCAAACCUCUUAAGACAGAUCCGAGGGUUUUCCACAGCGUCACUGUUGGUGACUGAGGUCCAGAACAGAUCCAGGUUCCAUGGACUUCAGAGUGCAUCCUACACAUCAACUAACAGCUAUGGCAACUAUUCAGCAAACAGACAGAAUAACUGGGAUUGUGAUUGUUUGACAACAUGUGCUGCUGGGUUUUUUUGUCUUAUAAUUGUGUGUGCCGUCUUAUUCUUUAUACUUGUUAACAGUCCACAAUUCAAGAGCAGAAACAUGUAUUAAAGCUAAACUGUAUUUUAGCAACAACAACAAAAACGUUAUCUUCUGCUGGUGAUGGUGAAAGGUUUUUCUAUGAAUGUUUGACAGAAAUCACUUGAUGUUGUAUUUACAAAUCCAGUUUCAGCUUUCUUUUCAGACACGUUUCUCAGAAAGCAUUACUUUAGUGCCGUGCCCUACUUGGGCACACUCACAACAUUCCAGCCUUUAUUCAUGCUACAUUUUCAUGCUGCACCCUGUCUGAUCUAAUGGUUGUCACUCACUGUUGUCUCUACAGUUGUUUCAUUUGAGGGCGGAAGGAAUUAAAGAAAGAAAGCAGAGAGAUGAAUAAAACCAACAACUGAAAAGAAGUGUUGGUAUGUGGUGUAGGUAUUUGUCAUCACGGUGUACGAGCUUCAAUAAAACUUGUUUAAUAAA